UGGGGAAUAUUGCACAAUGGGCGCAAGCCCGAUGCAGCCAUGCCGCGUGUGUGAAGAAGGCCUUCGGGUUGUAAAGCACUUUCAGCGAGGAGGAAGGUGGUGAGCUUAAUACGCUCAUCAAUUGACGUUACUCGCAGAAGAAGCACCGGCUAACUCCGUGCCAGCAGCCGCGGUAAUACGGAGGGUGCAAGCGUUAAUCGGAAUUACUGGGCGUAAAGCGCACGCAGGCGGUUCGUUAAGUCAGAUGUGAAAUCCCCGGGCUCAACCUGGGAACUGCAUUUGAAACUGGCAAGCUAGAGUCUCGUAGAGGGGGGUAGAAUUCCAGGUGUAGCGGUGAAAUGCGUAGAGAUCUGGAGGAAUACCGGUGGCGAAGGCGGCCCCCUGGACGAAGACUGACGCUCAGGUGCGAAAGCGUGGGGAGCAAACAGAUUAGAUACCCUGGUAGUCCACGCUGUAAACGAUGUCGAUUUUGGAGGUUGUGCCCUUGAGGCGUGGCUUCCGGAGCUAACGCGUUAAAUCGACCGCCUGGGGAGUACGGCCGCAAGGUU
rnacentral:rRNA from 1 species